rnacentral:rRNA from 1 species
AGUGAACGCUGGCGGUAGGCCUAACACAUGCAAGUCGAACGGCAGCACAGUAAGAGCUUGCUCUUACGGGUGGCGAGUGGCGGACGGGUGAGGAAUACAUCGGAAUCUACUUUUUCGUGGGGGAUAACGUAGGGAAACUUACGCUAAUACCGCAUACGACCUACGGGUGAAAGCAGGGGAUCUUCGGACCUUGCGCGAUUGAAUGAGCCGAUGUCGGAUUAGCUAGUUGGCGGGGUAAAGGCCCACCAAGGCGACGAUCCGUAGCUGGUCUGAGAGGAUGAUCAGCGACACUGGAACUGAGACACGGUCCAGACUCCUACGGGAGGCAGCAGUGGGGAAUAUUGGACAAAGGGCGCAAGCCUGAUCCAGCCAUACCGCGUGGGUGACGAAGGCCUUCGGGUUGUAAAGCCCUUUUGUUGGGAAAGAAAAGCAGCAGGUUAAGACCCCGCUGUUCUGACGGUACCCAAAGAAUAAGCACCGGCUAACUUCGUG